ACGGCUGUGGUCUAGCGGUAUGCUCCUGUCCUGUGAGGAAGGUCGUAACCCGGGUUCGAAUCCCGGCAGCCGUA
rnacentral:tRNA from 1 species